AGUGUGCUGUGAGGCACCUUGGAUGAAGGGCAGAAGGGAAGAUGCAGAGGAGAGGAGAGGAGCGUGCUCUGACUUCAGGGGGAGGACUGUCUCUGAGACCCUGGAAGGAAACCUAGAAGGACAAGAUGGCCAGCCAGCAGCUCUACCCCUUCCCACUUCCAAGCAGUACUACAGUCCAAGAGCUGUUGAGCACAGUGCGUUCUAUUUAAGCUUCACAACAUUACAUGGAUCACACCAUGCUUGUCAUGGACAUUAGCCUUCUCCAUGGCUCAUUUGCUGUCUGAAAUGCUGGACAACUCUCUAAGCUCAGAUACAGAAAAUUGAAAAGCAAUUGAAUCUAAUUUGGGAAUCACUCCAUUAAUAUCACAACUGUGGUAUUGCUCACCCAAUAUUAAGCCUCAGAGCAGUUACAGGCCCACAGAGCAGCUGAGUAAAAUGUUCAGAGAUUUGCCAUGUGUUCCCAUAGGCACUCGGUCAGAG